UAGAGCAUAGAACAACAUAAUAAAGUGAAAGUUUUGGUCAUAGUGCAACAACUAGUGUCCCCGGACACAUUCCAGACUUCCAGGCAUCUUUUCAAAAGGUACUGUGCAAAAACAACAAAAUGUGUUUCUGACAGUUG